GGGUCAGACCUCCAGAAUCUCAGGUCUGGCCCUGCUGCUUCCCUUUGAAAGCUGAUGAUACCUUUACUGAUUGAAUUGCAGAACAAAAGAAGCAGAAGCUCUCUGAGAUAAGAUCUGGCCUCGAUAAUGCUGAAGCAUUGGUAUGUGUGACUCUGGAAUAUAGCAGUUUUUUCUUUAUUGUCCCUUUUAACAUUUUUUCUUAUUCACCAGAUUAGGAAAAUGGAUGUUGAGGCGAGGAGCCUUCCACCGAGCAUUAGGACCAGCCUCCUUGUUAAACUAAGAGAGUUCAAGUCCGAUCUCAACAACUUCAAAAGCGAAGUCAAGAGGAUCACAUCUGCUAACUUGAAUGCUGCUGCUCGCGACGAGCUGCUUGAAGCUGGUCUGGCUGACACAAAGACGGUAUGUAAAGAGAACUCACUAGUAUCUUUUUUGACAUCUUUUGAUUGAUCUAUGACAUUUGAGGGCAGGCUUCGGCUGAUCAAAGAGCGAGAUUGAUGAUGUCAACCGAUCGAUUGGGUCGAACCACUGACAGAAUCAAGGACAGUCGAAGAAUGAUGAUUGAGACUGAAGAGCUUGGAGUUUCUGUCCUACAAGACUUGCACAGUCAGAGACAGUCUCUCCUUCGCACUGGCGACACGGUAUGUACUCUCUUCUUCAGCACGAUUUUAUCAUGAAGAAGACUACGUUUUAUUUAUAUACUACUUGUGAUUGGUGUCUCUUUUAACCAAAAGUUAGAACUCUGAAACAUGCAGCUUAGUGGAGUAGACGAAAAUGUCGGAAAGAGCAAGAAGAUCUUGACGGGCAUGACCAGGGGGAUGAACAGGAACAAAUGGACCAUUGGAGCCAUUAUCACCGCUCUGGUCGCGGCUAUUAUCCUCAUCUUGUACUUCAAACUCACCAAGUAAUCCCUCUGUAUCUAAACUCUUUGUCGCUGAACAAAUGGUGUGUAUCUUUUAUUUAAUCCUUUUCUGGCUUUCUGUGUGAUAAGUUAUGUCUUUGCCACCUUUUGUAUUAUCACGUUCUCUUGUUUGCGUUUGCGAUUACAUUUGUGUAUUUUAAUACUGAAUGAUGCAAAUUGUUUUGUUUUAUUAUUACUAAACGCAAGCGUAAAUUACAUUUCAAACAAUUAGAGCCUAAGCCUUGAGAUUGAGAACUAGUUGUGUGUUUUUCUUUCAUUCUUGAACCUGUUAUAAUCAGCGAGCAAGCUCUCAAUAACCUUAUGUUUCAUGCUAUCCACCAAACCAGUCAAAAUCUGUAGAAACCAAAUCACAACCAAACAUUAUUUACAAAGCUGAAAUAGUGGAAAAUAUCGUUUUCGAGUUCUCAAACGCAUAUAAGAAACCGUUUCUAACCGCAUUGGCCACGCUUCUCUUAACAUCUUCGGGUACAAACGCAAGAACCGAAGGAAGGACGAAGCUUACGUUCAUCUCUAAUUGACCUUUGAGCCUUGUGUGGCUUCCGCCUCGGUCUGGGUACAAUGCUCCUUGAACUCCCAGAGUGAAAUCAGACUGUUCCAUGACCUGGCCAAGCCCUUGAAGCUCCCAUUUCAUCUGAAGGUAAACCGUUAAAAGGGAACAAAAGAGUGAGAAUCGUCAAGGGUUGUGUCUGUUUCUAUUACCAUGUUAAGCUCAAGAACUCUGGUUAUGUCUAGAGGUACAUCAGGCGGGUAAUCUUGACCGUUGGAUUUGCAUCUAAUUCGCAUGUCCACCACUGGCCUUGCAGUGAGGAAGAGGAAAUUUAUAGGUGACAUAUGAAUUCUCCAUUCUUCCUGCACAAAUAAAAUAUUGUUAGAUACCGAAUGCAUUCCCACUUACAUAAAAAGUAACACAUAUUAGCUACCUCGUUAAGCCUAUAGCUUCUAGGUUUAUCAGGAAACAUUGCUUUGAAAACCCUACACUUAUCCUCCAAAUACUCAUCGAACAACGCCUGAACUUUCCCGAAACGCGUCAAACACAUACACUGUUGUACAGUGAUGCAUAUAUAUAACUCAUUAUAGGAAAUGAGAGUGAGAAUGAGACCUGAGGAGACUCGUGCAAUUGAACAUCGGUAGAGAAUUUAGAUGAAUACUUGGAGGCUUUUACAGUUGACAACUGGCACUUGGCUCCUGGCCGUAAUGUUCUCAUCUCCGCCGCUGUAGACCUGAUUCUUCCCAGCAUUGUCGGACACGACAAAACUGUUGAGCUGACAGCCAUGUUAGUAGUCUCUCUCUAGGUUUUCAAGAUUGGAUGAUGUUUGAUCUUUCCCACAUGUUUGAAAGAUAAGGGGAUAUGUGUCUUUCGGCCUUGUAUGUAGACGUGGUAUAUCGAGGGACUAUCCACCUCAUCAACAUUUUGAAUUCUUGGCCCUCUUUGAUUUACUCCUUUAUUCACGUUUUUCUCACUAUUAAGAAGAAGACAAUCUUGUUGAACAAAUAAUUAAAAAAAAGAAGACAAUCUCUUUCUCUCUAUACUCUUUCAGUCUUUCUUCGGUUCUCUGUUAUGAAAACAGUCUCCUUUCUUUCGGCUAAAUCAGGUCAAUAACAGAAAAUUGUGUGUUUUUUUUACAGUGUUCUAAAAAUUGGUUUAGAUGACACAUUAAAAAAAGUCUAACCAUACAUUUAAUCAACAAUCUUCGUAAAAAGUAUAACUACCGCCUAACGAUUUUUUGCAUUGUUUUUCUCUCAAAAUAUUACAAUUGACAGAUUUAAUAUUCAAAUAUUAUAGUUACUCCAUAACUAAUAGCUCGACGGCAUAAAAUUGACAUGAUAUAGUCAAUAGUUUCGUCUAUUUUUAACAGUUGACUAUUAUAAUCCUAAUUUUUUUAAUUAUAAUCCUAGUUUUAUGGUGUAUAUAUAUACUAGUUGAUACAAGUUGUUUUGUUUAAUAUAAACGUAUACGCCAAACAUGGCGCAUAAAUUACAUUCAAACCAUUAAAGCUUUAGCCUUGAGAUUAAAAACUAAUGAUGUGUUCUUCUUUCAUUCUUAAACCUAUUAUAAUCAUCGAGCAAGCUCUCAAUAACCUUAUGCUUCAUAUUAUCCACCAAACCAUUUAAAACCUGCAGAAAGCAAAUAAAAACAUAAGAUAAUAUAUAAAUUUGGAAUAUAGUGUUUUGAAUUUGCAAAUGCAUUUAUUUCUAACCGCAUUGGCAACGUUUCUCCUAACAUCCUCUGGUACAAGCAUGAGAACCGUAGGAAGCACGAAGCUAACGUUCAUCUCUAGUCGACCUUUGAGCCUUGUGUGCCUUCCGCCUCGGUCUGGGUACAAUGCUCCUUGAACUCCAAGGGUGAAAUCAGAUGGCUCCAUGACCCGGUCAAGCCCUUGAAGCUCCCAUUUCAUCUGAAAAUAAACCGUUCAAAGAGAACAAAAGAGUGAGGUAUUUAGACUUUUUAGUACUUCCUCCAUUCAACGAAGAUAUAAAUCUUGGAUAUUUCACACAAUUUAAAUAUAAAUUUACAAUUCUAAAAUAUUUUUUUAAUACCAUAAUUUAAAAAAAAUCAAUUUAUUUCAACAGUAUUGUCUUAAUCAAUAUGAUCAGUAAAUAAAGGUAAACAAUUAUUCAUAAAACUUUUCUCUUUCUGAAACAAUUAAAAAUGUCAAAACUUGUAUUUUUGUGGAAAGGAGUGAGUACCAUGUUAAGCUCAAGGACUUUGGUUAUGUCUAGAGGUACAUCAGGCGGGUAAUCCUGACCGGUGGAUUUGCAUCGGAUCCGCAUGACCACCACUGGCCACGCAGUGAGGAAGAGAAAUUUUAUUGGCAACAUUUGGAUUCUCCAUUCUUCCUGCACAAGUAAAUCAUGUCGGUCUUUUCGUUAGAGUAACCAAAGAAUGCAACCCAGAGCCGUGCCUGACUAGAGGCUGAUCAAGCACUUGCUUGAGGCCAAAACGUAGAUAAAUAGUUUUAUGGGCCAAUUUCUUGGCAAGAGUUGUCUACAGAACAGUUGGUAAUAGUCUGUAUUAUUACUCUAGGGUCCCGGGUUCAAUCACGAGUAUAGCAGUUUGACCUUUUUUCCAAAAAAUUUAUAGUUUAUGGGGCAAAUUUUUUUUAGUGCUUUAGGACCCACAAUAUUCAGGCAUGGCCCUGAAUUGCAACCCCACACUUAUAAAAAUGGAACAUGGAUGUUACCUCGUUAAGCCUAUAGCUUUUGGGUUUAUCAGGAAACAUUGCUUUGAAAACCCUCGACUUAUCCUCCAAAUACUCAUCGAACAACGCCUGAAGUUUCAAAGCAUUACAACACAAACAGUUUUACACUGAUGCAUACAUAUAUAACAUUAUAGAGAUUGAAAGUGAGAAAGAGAUACCAGAGGAGACUCGUGCAGUUGAACAUCGGUAGUUAUUUUAGAUGAAUAUUUGGAGGGUUUUACGGGUGACAACUGACACUUAACUCCCCACCGUAUUGUUCUCAUCUCCACCGCCACCGACCGGCGUCUUCCGAACAUCUUCGGGCAUGACAAAACCAUUGAGCUUACAGCCAUUUUACCAGUCUUUCUCUCUCUUUUUUGGUCUUCAAGAUUGGAUGAUAUUUGAUCUUUCCCACUUUUCUCUCUCUCUAUAUUUAUAUAUAUCUUCAGAGGAAAGAUUGCGUCUUUGCUUCUCUUUAAUACGUUUAGAGACCUUUGUUAAAGAAAAUAGAGACAGAGAGUAACAUUCUCACGGUACGCAUUUGGAAGAUAGUGGAUUUCGAGAAAUAAUUGUUGAAACAUUGCUUUUCAACCUCUAUAGUAACCGGGUACAUAUUCGGUUUGGUUUAAUUGUUUCAGGUUUUGUAAGAAAUAUAAGUCCACUUCAUUUAAUUUAGUUUAGUUUGGUUUGGUUUAGUUAAGAGGUUACCCAUUUAUUUUGCCAUCUACGUGGUGAUAAUGUAAAGCCUCGUCUGUCACGCAGUUGUUGAUGAGAGUGACACGAGAACAUUGAACGUUGAGAAUAAUCUGUAGAAUAACUUCUAUCACACGCAGAGGUUUUGAAAAAAAAAAGAAAAAGAAUUCAUUGCUUUCGAAACCGACAAACUCUCGGACCGAAUACUAAGAAACCGGUUUACUUUGGCGCCUAGGAAUAUGGGUUACUAACUUUGACUUUUAAUGUAAGCAAUAAGCAAAGAUCUCUUGUUGUUUGCAACUCUUUCAACUCUAUAAUCUUUGUUUUUCAGACUGGCUAAGUAAAUUAAAACAUUAAAAUCUUAUAUAGUAUGUUACGAUGACUGUUCAUAAACGAUUUGUUCAUGUUGGAUUGAGAAACUAUACAUGGUUGAGCAUUGACAUUAAAAUUCGGCUUUAGUAGAUAACUUGUGUAAUCUUCUCUCGUUCUUGAACCUGCUAUAAUCAGCGAGCAAGCUCCCAUUAACCUUAUGCUUCAUAUUCUCCACUAAACCUGUCAAAACCUGUAAAUGGGUCCAAAUCAGAUCAUGUGUAAAUCAUAAGAGAUAGUCAAAUAAGGUUUUACAUACCGCACUGGCCAAGUUUCUCCUAACGUCUUCAGGUACCAAUUCAAGAACCGGGGGAAGAACAAAGCUUAUGUUCAUCUCUAGCUGACCUCUGAGCCUUGUGUGCUUUCCUCUCCGGUCUGGGUACAAUGCUCCUUUGACUCCCAAACUGAAGUCAGACGGUUGCAUCACUCGGUCAAGCCCUUUAAGUUGCCAUCUCGUCUGAAAAGAAGCAUUUAAGAGUUUGAGUAAUGGAAGAUGAAGAAACGAAGAGAGAGAAAAGUUAUUACCAUGUUGAGCUCAACAACUUUGGUUAUGUCUAAAGGUACGUCUGCCGGGUAAUCCUGACCGUUGGAUUUGCAACUUAAACGCAUAUCGACCACAGGCCACACAGUGAGGAAGAGGAAAUUAAUUGGUAACAUCUGAAUCCUCCACUCUUCCUGCAAAAAUUCAAUUUAUCCAAGUAGACUUAAAAUAGUGAAAAAGGGGGCGUUCCGAGAAUUGAACUCGGGACCUCUCGCACCCUAAGCGAGAAUCAUACCACUAGACCAAACGCCCGUUUUGAACGUGUUUUAUAUAUAACUAAUGUUAGUCAUAUUAGUUGACGUACCUCGUUAAGCUUAUGGCUUCUGGGUUUGUCAGGGAACAUGGCUUCGAAAACUCUCGAUUUAUCCUCUAAAUAGUCAUCAAACAACGCCUAAAAGUUCCUCAAAAUCACAUUUAAGAAACGCACCAAAACAGUUUAAACUGAAUCGUGUUAUAGAGGGAGAGAGAGAAGGAGACCUGAGGAGACUCGUGGAGAGGAAUAUCUGUGGAGAGUCUUGACGAAUACGUGGCAGGUUUUAUGGAUGAUACCUGACACCUAACUCUCCACCGUGUAAUUGGUCUCAUCUCCGUCUUCACCGGUCGGUAAGUUCCGAACAUGGGCGAUGACAAAACCGCCAUUUCACCGAUUAUCUUUUCAAUAUCAGAACUUUUAUAUAUUCCACAUUUCUCUUUUGAUUUCUCUCUGAAAGUUAAAAACUUUUGAAAGAACUUUUAGAUUUCUCUAGAGGAGUGAAGUUGCUUUUUGCUAGAGAUUUUGGAGGGAUAAGGGGAUAUCUGUCUUUCGGCCUUCUAUGUCGACGUGGCAUAUUUUGAGACUAGCCACAUCAUCAACAUUUGGAAUUCGUAGGGCCCUUCUUUUCUUUGUACUCCUUUCGGACUUUUCCUUUCCGUUAGUGGAUGAGAAUGACACGAGACGAAACUAAAAAAAAAAAAAACUCAAAUGUAUUAUCUGACGACAAAGGAAGGUUCGACAAACUAAACUCAAUCCUUAUUUUACAUUAGUUCCACUGUACAUGUUCUGUCAUAUUAAAAGAUCAAGAAUAUUCAAAUCCUACGAGCAACGCAUUAUAUUGUCGGAUGAAUUUCCUUGAAAGUGUAUGGUUUGAAAUUUCAGGACUGUAGAGGGCACACAGAUGAUCCUCCUAAAGAAUGUAGAUAUCAAACCUUAAGUUCUGUGAUUUGUUCUUCGAUUUCUUGCUUAUAAAAGCAAACUAAAAUGAAAUGUGGAACGUAAAUGCCACAAUUGAUUCACGGCUUCGUUGAGCUCACUUCACUCUCUUUGUUAAAACUCAAAUACAUCUCGAUCUUCUUAGUUCCAACAACCAAAGAGGAUACAAAAGACAAUCUUUCACGGUUUAUUUCUAACAUUAGUAAGAAAAGGACUCGUCUCUUUCUCUCUUAAUUCCUUCACGGUUAAAACCUCAAGUCAAACCGUCAACACACUUAUGGGCCUUAUCCAUUUCCUAACUGGGCCUUAAUUUUAAUUUUAAUUUCUAGUCCAAUCGGUAAUCGCUUCGAUCUGUCGGUAGACAGAAUAGAAUAAUGGUUUCGCCGGUUAAACCAGUCGGCAAUCGGUACGAUCAGAUUGCAUAAAAGCAAAUCAUAAUAAGUCACGUGGCACAGUUUACACGGUUCGUAGACUCGUAGUGGUCGCCAUGUAAACAGCGGGAAAACAGGGCCCCACACAUAUUAACUAAGGAGUAGGACCAACAAAAUCAUCACCACGAAACGCAGCGUUUCCCCUUCGUCUCCGCGUUUAAAAUCUUCUUUCACCCUUUCGUCAUUUCGUCAGAUCCAAGAGAGAGAGAGAGAAAUCAGAAAAAGAUCUUGAAACGAUGCCGUACUACACCAGAGACGAGGAUGAAGUCGACGAUUUCGACGAGUUCGAUCCGACGCCGUACAGUGGAGGCUACGACAUCACCGUGAUCUACGGCCGUCCGAUCCCUCCUUGCGACGACACUUGCUACCCUCUCUCCUCCGCAGCGGAUGAAGAUUUCGAGUACGAGAGACCUGAAUUCACCUCGUACCACGAUCCUUCCGCCUACGCCGAAGAAGCUCUCAACCCCGAGUACAGCAGCUACUCCCGCCCCAAGCCCCGUCCCGGUUUUCGACCCGGUUCUGCCGGAGGCGGUCACGUCCAAGGUGAGCGACCCGAUCAGAGUUACGGAUCCGGUUACGGUGGUCAGACGGAGGCUGAGUACGGUAGGAGACCUGAAUCGGGGUACGGCGGAGCCACGGAGACGGAGUAUGGCCGGAGACCUGAGCAGAGUUACGGAUCUGGUGGAUACGGUGGCAGAUCGGAGGUUGAGUCUGGUGGCUAUGGUGGUAGAUCAGAGGUUGAAUCUGGUGGAUACGGUGGAAGAUCGGAGUCUGGUGGCUAUGGUGGAAGAACGGAGGUUGAGUAUGGCCGGAGACCUGAAUCUGGAUAUGGUGGGAGAUCGGAGACGGAGACCGGGUACGGAUCCGGGUAUGAGAAGAAACCGAGCUUCGGUGAAGAGAGGAGCGAGUAUGAGCGCAAGCCUAGCUAUGGAAGGUCUGAGGAUCAAGAGGAAGGAGGUUACAGGAAGCCUAGCUAUGGGAGAUCUGAGGAUCAGGUUGAGAGCUACAUAAAGCCCAGCAGCUACGGGAGGUCUGAGGAAGAGGAAGAAGGAGGCUAUAGGAAGCCUAGCUAUGGAAGGUCUGAGGAACAGGAGGAAGGGAGUUACAGGAAGCCUAGCUAUGGCCGUCGUAAUGAUGAUGAUGAUGAUGAGGAGCGCAGGAACCGUUCCGGUGAUGAUGAGGAAGGGAGCUAUGGCCGCAAGAAAUAUGUAAGUUCAAUAAGUUAAUUAUAUAAAGUUAUAGUCAAUUUGCAUCUAGAUUAUUGUGUGGAAAUUAAGUUUAUUGAUUGUUUAAACAUAAAACCCUUUUGUUGAUGGACUGAUCUCAACAUUGAAACUAAAGAUUAUAGUUUUGGUGAUAACAUCCAUUACCCCCUUUAACUUCAUUCGUUCAGUAUUUGAUUUAACAUUGACAUCUUGUAGGUUAUAACAAUCAUAGUACAGAACUUGCAUUGUGUUUUUUGCGUCUCGUUUGUUUUGAAAAUAAGUUUUAGUUUGGUUUUGAUCACAGUGUAGCGGUGUAACUCUGUUUUCACAUCCUGAAAUGGAGUUCCUUAAUUUGAAAGCUAUGUUCUACAAUCCCAUAAUAACGUUCCUGGUUCAAUGUUUGUUUGAAUAUAGACAUCUUGAAUAUGUCCCAUUGUUGAUCUUAGUGUAGAGUAGUCUCCAUGUUGAACUAAAGUGUUUGUCUUUCAUACCCUGUAACUCUGUUUUCACAUCCUGUAAUGGAUUAGCCUCGGUUGAAAGCUAAGUUCUUUGAUUGAAAUUGCACAUCAUGUAUAUGACAUUUGAAGAUCAUAGUUACAGAGUAUCUAUCUCCAUUGUUAUGGUGACCGUUAAUAGAGGCAUCACUGACUAAAGCUUUCGCUUAACGUUAUUCAUCUCUGCAUCAAAUUCUGUAGGGUGGCAAUGACUCUGAUGAUGAUGAGGAGAAGAAGCAGCAGCGUUACAAGCAUCACCACCACCAGAGGCGUCGUGAUGAAGACGAUGACUAAAGCCCUCACUCAGUGCUGGAAUCGAGUGCUUCUACUUAGCUUCAUAUUACUAAAUAAAAAGCUAAGGCAUAUUUAUCUUUGGAUGUUGUUGUUGUGUUUGUUUGAUUCUCUCUAGAUACAGCAGAGUCUGUGUCUGGGUUUGUUUCUGGUUCAUUAUAAGACCUUGAAUUGAUAUCGGGUCAUCAUCAUGAUGUUAAACUGUUGCUACUCUGUGUUUCGUUUUUAUUUAUGGAACUUUUCUCUUUUAUGGCUUCUGUUGUUUUGGUUUUGUCGAUAUUAAUAUUAAAAAUCAAAAGUCAUUGCCGAGAAGGAAAAAUAUUUUGUGGUAAAAGCUAGAUUCGAUUUUUUAUACUGAAUAUUUUAUGAUUAAAAACAGAAAAAAGAAAAUCGGUUUUGUAAUAGGAAUGGGUUAAUCAGAUACCUAUAUGUACAUUACACAUCUUUUUGCUUCAACAUCAGAAACUUACAACCAAACAAUUCUAAAAGAAGCAAUGUCAAGCGCUACAGUCCUCGAUGAAUCUAGCGUUCCUAGCCCCAGGAGUACAUGGAGGUGAGAUUCCACUAAAUAUAUUGUUAUGUAACAUAAGAUUUUUGAUUAUAAACAUUAUUAUACUGAAACGAAUUUUCUGGUUGGUUGCAGGAUGGACGGGCAGUUACGAUACGACAUUGCGAUGAACACCAUCAUUAUAAUCCUCAUCACUGAUGCGGUCUUACAUAUGACUCUGAGAGCCCACAAGAUUCCCCUUGCUGAUAACGUUGAGGGACUUUUAUGUACAUUUGUAGUUGCGUACGUGUUUGUCAUCACGACUAAUUGCGGGUAUUGGCUUACAGCAAGCGAGGAAGAAGGGUGUUUACUUGGAAUUUACAUCACGGGACGCCUUGGUCACACGUUAGGCUUUUGUAUUUUCCUCUGUCUCCUCUAUUCUAGUUCUCACUUGGCUAUGUACGUUGCUCUACCUUGUUUACUAUGUUUGGUGCCAGCCAUGUUUGCACCGUGUUGUCCAUGUCUGUGGAGAGGAGAGUCAACUUGGUGGAAUUUUGUGAAGCAACCACAACCAACAGUAGAUAUUGUUUAACUUUUGGACUAUUAUUAUUAAUAGAAUUUUUUAAUUCCUAAUUUUGUAAACAUCUCGUCAAUUGUUUGUUCUUAACUUUUCUCUCUUGCGAUCGGUGAAUUUUGUUUCCACUGUCUACCCAUAAACCUCGUGUUGACAUGUGUUUUGCGAUCUAACAAGAUAUUAUUAUGGUUUAGGGAUUGUUUUAGACAUCAAUCCUCUUUUGAUAUGGCUGAAGAAAAUUAAGAGUUCCUAGUCUUGAUUUGUUCCUGCUUAAUGUAAUUUGGGGAAAGUGAUCAUUUAUCUUUUGGUACAUUAUCAUUGUGUGUUGCAUGCAAAGUAUCAAUCUACUUGGAACUUAACAUUGCGUUAUUUGCAUCUAGCUUGUUUGGAAAAUAAGUUUUAAUUUGGUUUAAUCCCGUUGUUGAUCACAGUGUAGUGUGAUCUCAAUGUUGAACUAAAGAUAUCUUUAGUUUGUUCUUUAGAUUCUUUAUGAGUUACUACAAGCCUUUGUCUGCUUCCCUUUGGUUACAGGCUUGUCAUUACUAGUUGUAGAUCAUCAUUGAUUUUGCAGAACAAAAGAUGCAGAAGCUGUCCCAAAUAAGGACACAAGGACAUAAGUUUGUGCUUUAGAUCCUUUAUGAGUUUAUCUUCAGUUUUUGCGUUUUAGAUCCUUUAUGAGUUAUUACAAACCUCUCGACUCUUGUAAGGACAUAAGAUCUGUGCAUUAUCUGGUUACUGGCUGUACAAAGAGCUUGUCAAUUACUAGGUGUAGAUCAUCAUUGUUUCUGUUUGUUAAGAUGCAUUGAUGACACCUUACUCAUUGAUUCCCGAAACAAAAGAAGCAUAAGCUCUCUGAAAUAAGGCGUGGCCGCAAAAAUGCUAAAGUGUUGGUAUGUAGUCUAAGGCAUAGAUCGAAUAAAGCAGCGUUUUCCUUAUUGUCCCUUUGCUUUGUACAUUUUCUUAUUCACCAGAUUAGAAAAAUGGAUCUUGAAGCCAGGAGCCUUCCACCAAGCAUUAAUUCCAGCCUCCUUGUCAAACUAAGAGAGUUUUCAAGUCUGAUCUCAACAACUUCAAAAGCGAAGUCAAGAGAUCGAUGAGGUCAGCUGAUCGAUUGGGUCGAACCACAGACAGAAUCAAGAGACUGAAGAGCUUGGCGUCUCAGUCCUCCAAGACUUGCACAGUCAGAGACAGUCUUCCUCUCCUACGCACUAACGACACGGUAUGUGCUCUCUUCAACAAUUUUCUCUUACACGGGUUUUAUCAUGAAGAAGAAUACUACGUGUGAUUGGCAUCUCUUUUAACCAAUAGCUCGUUCUCUGAUACAUACAGCUUAGUGGAGUAGACGACAAUGUAGGAAAGAGCAAGAAGACCUUGACAGGCAUGACUAGGAGGAUGAACGGGAACAAAUGGACCAUUGGAGCCAUUAUCACCGCUUUGGUCGCCGCCAUUAUCCUCAUCUUCUACUUCAAACUCACCAAGUAAGCCUCUGUAUCUAAACUCUUUGUCGCUGAACAAAUGGUGUGCUGUAAGUAGUAACAGCUGAUGACGAGGAAGAAGAUAGAAGGAAGCUAAGACUCUGAGGGACAAAGAGGCUUCUGCAGUUACAGUGAAGCUACUGUAUAAAUAAUAUUAUAGAGGGAGUGAAAGAGAGACUUUAUCGAUGUAUUAGCUCAUGCCUCAUAGUUCCAGUUGAUACUCUAUAUUGUGAGAGAGAGUGAUACAGUUGUAUUGUGUGUGUUAUGGAUCAAUAGAGAUUUGGUUCAUGACAUCUGGCUUUUAUCUGUGUGAUAAGUUAUGUCUUUGCCACCUUUUGUAUUAUCACGUUCUCUUGUUUGUGUUUGCGUUUACAGUUGUGUAUUUUUAUACUAAAUGAUGCAGAUUGUUUUGUUUAUUAUUAAAAGCAAGCUUAAAUUACAUUUUAGACAAUUAGAACUUAAGCCUUGAGAAUAAGAACUAGUUGUGUGUUUUUCUUUCAUUCUUGAACCUGUUAUAAUCAGCGAGCAAGCUAUCAAUAACCUUACGCUUCAUGCUAUCCACCAAACCAGUCAAAAUCUGUAUAAACCUGGAAUAUAGCUGGUUCAUAAUAAGACCUUGAACUGAUAUUGGGUCAUCAUCAUGUAAACAGCUGCGACUCUGUGUUUUGUUUUUGUGCUAUGAAAAUUUCUUAUUUUAAAGCAUAACUUCUAUUGUUUUUCUUUUGUCCAUAAGAAAAUUUAUUUUGUCGUUAAAACCAAUGUGACCACACAAAACCACUUAUCUAAUCUAAUCUAGAAACAAUAUGAAACAAGCUUCCUGCCAAAGACAUACACCACAGUUACAACCACCUUUGAAAUCGACAUUCCAAGUAUAAACCAUCUUGGCCACAUGCUGUGAACAGUGGUUGAUCCUUCAGCUUCCUUACGCAGCUGUGAAGGUUCCAAAGAAGAGUGCGAUGACAAGCCACAGUAAGAACCAUCUAGUAUUGAGUUUUCUCCUCAGUGUCUCCGCUUUGUUGGCUUGUGGAGUUGUGCCAAGUUGAAGUACGUCGCCACGAAACCAAUGUUGUUGAGCAGGAGAUAGACAGUGUAACAUCGCGUGUCUCUGAAACGUAUGUAGCCAUUUGAAUCGAGUCCACUAGGUGGACUUGAGAAGGAAGCCACCGUGGUUAGGCCACCGAUGGCCAACACGAACUUGGUAAGUUCUUCUCGCUCUUUGUAAAGAGCCUCCAAAGGAUCCUGAAAUAAAUAAAGCGUAUGUAGCCAUGUGAUGUGGACUUGAGAAGGAAGCCAAUGUGGUUAGGCCACCGAUGGCCAACACAAACUUGGUAAGUUAUUCUCGCUCUUUAUUAAGAGCCUCCAAAGGAUCCUACAAUAAAGUGUACAAAUUUUGUAACUCAAAUCUUUUCCUCAUUCUCAGACAUCUCUCGUAGAAGACAUACUAACCGGUUUGCCUGAGAAAUAUAAAACUAAAUGUUUAAAGUACAUGCUUCUUAUAAAAUCAAUCUACAACUAUUCAAUAAAACUUGAUUUGCUUUUAUUAAACCCAUUAAAAGCAUUUACACACUCAAUCACACAACUAUACUUAAAUGCCACGACUUUCUCUUGUUCUAAAUAACUUUACGUCUUUACAUGUGUCUCAUUUGUAGACUUUCGUUACUACAUGUAACAUUUUUUCCAUGACUUUCAUGACCCGAAAUGAAGCUUUAAAAGUUCGUGAAACUAGUUUUCAAUAUAACAGUUCAUCAACUUAUCAACACAUUUACCUUAAUAUUCUAUGUUCCAAUAAAAUAAACAAACUUACUGCGAUUAUCGACGAAAUGGAGCUGAGGUUGAGGAAAGUCCUUGAUUUCCUAUCUUCAACAAAAAUAAAAAAGUAAAGAAAUGUUUUGCUAUUACAACAGCUUAUGUAGUGAUUCAGAUAAAACAAAAAAAUAAACACAACCUUCUGAUUGAUGCCACAUGAAAAAUGAUCAAUGUCUCUAAGCUUCUCAUCCUAAACGCCUUCCCCAUACAAUUUACAAAAUUUCUUCUCCUCUACAACUUUUGUCGUUAUGCGAAGAUGGUGACCCUCUGUUCAUUAAAUCGAUUGGGCUUUUUUUUCUUUCUUUUUUAGUAUCAUGUGCUUAAAGAUCCUAUUAUAAUAUUCUAAGUACGUUUUUCAUAGACGAGACAUCCCAAAUUUUUAUCUUUACUUUUCCUACACCAAUUCAUAGCUAUUUAUAUUUUGACGCAAACUAUAUAAAAUCGGAUCAGUUUACUCAAAACCCAGUACGUGGCUAAUCGUAAAAGAUACAUAGAAGUAUUCAACAAAUCAUUUCAUAUCAUUCAUUCAUUCACCCACAAAGAGCUCUCAAAUUGGUUUCGCAACUACAAAACAUCGAAUCCGUUCUUGGAUUAGGGUUUUGAGAUUGAGUCUCAUCAAUUUUUUUUGUUUCUUAUUGUAGAAAACUUUCACUUUGAGCUACAAGACAACUACUAGUGAAGGAGACCAGACAGUUCCAGAUCCGUUUCCAAAGUUGUUGGAUAAUUUAGGACCAUCUUUAGUACAUUUGUUCUUCGUCCCUGAGAAAAGAGGAGGAUCGAGUUAGGUUAAAUUUGCUACAGGUUAUGUCAAAUUGUGCGGGAGAAUGUCGGUAGUAAAAUGAACUUACUUAUGCACCUUAGUGUUUGUUAUCACACCUGAGUGUGUUGAGAUUCACAAUCUGAUUUUGAUGGAAGAAAGCGGGAAGAAACUAGUUAGCUACUUUCUUGAGAAUUCAUUUGUUCUCAAGAAACUCAUCCCGCGUUUUAGGGAUUCUUUAAUAUAUCUUACUCAGAUUUCUUCAAGGAGCUUCUUAAAUUCAGAAAGCGGUCUUGCAGUUGUCCGAUUAUUUUUCUUUGAGAAAUUGGCGAUUAGAGUUCAUUAUUUAUUUUGAUUUUGAGUAUCAUUGUGUAUGAAUUUCGUAUGGAUUGUAGAUUUUAUUAAAACCUGUUCCAUAAAGAUUUAUUUUUUGAUGGAAAAAGAGUAAACGACUUUAUAAGAUUUUGUUGCAGUUAAAAAUUAAAAGAUAAACAAAUAUAUAUUAUGUAUUUAUUUAUGAAAUAAGAAAAUUAAUUAAUACUUGAUUUGACAUUGUUAUCUUUAAGAAAUUUUAUACCUUCCAACAUGUUAAUAAAAUUGAUUACAUUAAAUAUAUCAACCGUGGCAGUUACAGCCCCCGAUUAAAGCAUUUGAUCUAGUCAGUAGAUUUCUUGGAAAUCAAGUUUCGAUUCCAUUUCAUUUGUGCAUGUUAAACGCCCUAGUAAUAGUUGUGCUGACUUCAAACAGAUCGGAGGCUUACUGAAUUUGAAUUUGGUCGACUUUGAGAAGGUGAACAAAAUUCGAUUGUGAGUUAUUUCAAAAACGUUUUUAUUGAUAAGAUGAAAAAGAGGUUACAGUGUUUGGACAUGUAAAGUAUAAAACACAAAUAUAAGUUGUUGUUUUUAACACUAGAUAAAUUACCAAUUACUAAUGAACAACUAUACAGAUAAUAAAGAGCCUACAAUACUUUGAAAUGUUCGAAGAGCUUUGCAUAUAAUAAUCUGUAAUAAACAAAACAUAAGUGUAAAAAUCUUUAAACAAUAACCAUUAAACUAUAGUGCUUAUACGAGUCGUAUUUGUUGAAAACAAAACAAGUAUGAGUCGUAUGACCUGAACAAAACAAAAUCGAAUAACAAACCGGAUCUAAUUGACCACUAACCGGAACCGGUUCAAUCGGGAAUUGACUCAAAUCCCAUUAAGCGGCGCAUCGCGAGAAAAAGAGCCAGCAACUGUUCAAAAUAUCUCAAUAGAUAGAUCAAAAAGCAAUCAUGGACACCAUCAUUCAUUAACAAAUAUCCUCUGAAACCUCCGUUUGAAUUAUUUCUAUCUUCUCACAUCGCAUCAUGGGUGCUUCAUCCUCUACAGAUAAUAAAGAAUCAUCGGAGAAGCGAGAAAUCGAAAGCCUCGCUGCUUCCACCGGUGCUCUUCCUCUGCUUCAACGAUUUUUCUCCAAGCUCGCCGAUCCUCAGACCAACACUGUUUCCUUCCAAUCAUUCAAGGUAAUAACGAUUAGGGUUCUGAUUGUUCUUAAAGAGAAUCUGGAUUUGCAGUUACAGUAGUUUUGGGAUUUGAUCGGAUCGUGAAUUAGUGUUUUGACACUGAGUUUGAUCGGAUCAUGAAUUAGGGUUUUGAGACGUUUCAUCAAUUUUUUUUUGUUUUGUUUCUUAUUGUAGAAAAGCUUCACCUUGAGCUACAAGACAACUACUUGUGAAGGAGACCAGAAAGUUCCAGAUUCGUUUCCGAGGUUGUUGGAGCAUUUAGGACCAUCUUUAGUAGAUUUGUUCUUCGUCCCUGAGAAAGGAGGAGGGUUGAGUUGGGUCGAGUUUGCUAGAGGUUAUGUCAAAUGCUGCGGAAGAAUGUCUGCCUCCAUGUCUUACAACACUCUGUUGAGAGUGUUUCAUCUGACAUCUCAAAACGCAGGCUUUUCCUCGAAGCUGGAGUUCGAAUCUGACGAAGCUGAUUGUAAGAUCAACGGGUCGGUUUCCACCGUAGAGUUGGUUAUGUUUCUGUGGAUGUGUUGGACGAUGUCGUGGGAUGGUCGAAGCAGUAGAUCCAGCGACUUGUUUCUUCCUGAUAUAAGCCACUUGGUUAUGUCAGCGCUUGUGUCUUGCACCGAGUCUGGAGCUAGUUUGGAUGUUUGGGAUUCUGAUGUUUUCGGAUUGGAGCUCGAGCUUCCUGUCGGGAAAUUCCUGACGUGGGCAUUGACGACGAUUCCAAGCCUCACUGAGUGUCUAUCUCACUUCUGCAACGCGAGGCUUCAGCAUUGUUUAAAUGCAGAGGUACUCUUUCUUUACCUGUUGCUUUUCAUUUAACCGUAUGGUGUUCACUAAAAGUGGAUUACAGGAUGGAUCUGGGCCUUCAAAGUCAGCUGGUGGAGAUGAUUCUGCGUCCAAGACAUGUGAUAACACUCUUCUAACAUGUGGAAGGGCAUGGGCGAUUUCUUUGACGUCCAAGAAUACCUUAAGUGAGGAGAUCUUGAGCUCAUGCUUUCCCUGCAAUGGCGAUGAACCCAAUGAAAAUCUUCUUUACCGGUAUCCCACUGUCCUACUUCUGUGAAGGUUCUGUCUCUAUAGUGUAACUUAACGUGUUCAAUGUUCAUCUGUCUUUCAGCUCAUACCAUCAUGGGAAAGGCAUGAAUCGAUUGUGGGACAACGUUCAAGGGUAUCAUGCUCCUAUACUAUUGCUAGUUUCUGCAAGCGGUGGAGUUGAGCAGGAGGGUAGUUCAAGCGAGAGGAAGUGGGUCAUUGGUGCUAUCUUGCAGCAAGGUUUUCAGAACAGAGAUACAUUUUACGGAAGCUCUGGGAACUUGUUCUCCAUUAGUCCUGUCUUUCACGCAUUCUCAUCUUCAGGUACUGCACACAUCAGAGAAUUUUCGUAGGCGUAGUCAGUUGUUUUGCAUUAGUGUAGUCUUAUAUGGUUUUGUGUUCAACUUCAGGGAAAGAGAAAAACUUUGCAUAUAGCCAUCUUCAUCCCUCUGGUAGAGUCUAUGACGCAAACCCAAAGCCUGUUGGAAUUGGUUUCGGGGGAACACAAGGAAACGAGAGAAUCUUCAUCGACGAAGACUUUGCUAAGAUCACAAUCCGUCAUCAUGCAGUUGAUAAAACUUACCAGCCUGGCUCUCUCUUCCCAAACCAGGUAACGCAAGUGCUGGUCUAUAUAUAUGAUUCAAGUUUUGUGGUCUUGGAUAUUUAUAACAUCUGUUGUUGCAGGGUUAUUUACCAGUAGAGGCUUUGGUGUCAGAUGUUGAAGCAUGGGCAUUAGGUGGAAAAGCAGCUAAGGAAGUUCAAGAAGCAUACAAGAAAAGAGAAGAGCUUUUCACUGACCAACGUCGAAAGGUAAGAAAAGAUCAAUAAGAUCUAUUUAUGCAAAUGCACAAAAGGACUUGCAAGUUUGACAAGUUGUUAUAUGUAUCUACAGAUUGAUUUGAAGACGUUUACGAAUUGGGAAGAUUCACCUGAGAAAAUGAUGAUGGAUAUGAUGGGGAAUCCUAAUGCUCCGGCUAGAGAAGAGAGGUAAUGAGUGAGGGGAGCAAGACUUGUUUGGUAUAUUUAUGCACAUACGUUUUCUCAAUAGAGGUUUCGUCUGUAAAGUAUAUAUUUGAAGAAACUCAUUUGCUGUUUGCGUAAGUUAUGUUUACUAUUAUCGUUGCCAAAACUCGAACCAGAGUGUUGAGUUUGAGAUUUACCCAAUAAAAAAGAGUUUUAUUUGAAGAGUUUUAUAGACGUUACAAUGAAUCAACAAGUAGAUAAUUGUGGUUUUAAGUUUCAACUAAGCAACUCUUUUCGUGUGAAAUGGUUUCCAGAGCUCUCUGCUUUCUGCUGAGAAUCAUCUCCAUCACUUUAUUCAUAGACUUGAUCUCCUCCUCUGCCUUCUUUAUCUUUCUUUCCUCCGACUCUUAUCUUCUUUCUUCUUUCUUCUUACCAAAACCAUUUUACUCUUUUCUUCAUCUCUUGCCUCACAGAUCCUACAACAAAGAAGGCCAUACCAAAACUUGGUUUUCUCUAAACCGAAUCAAUUUUAGUUAUAGUUCGGUUCAUCCUAACCCAAAAAAAAAACUAAAUGGCUUAAAAAUCGGUUAGACCUGAAUCUGGUUGCGUAAGCCUUUGGUAGAAGGUGAUGAACUUCAUAGAGAAGCUGUACAAGGGGGAUUAAAAUACUUGGUUUCUCUCCCAUUCAAGUUCCCUUACCUUUCUCUCACAUUCUUCUCUAUCCAUUCUCUAUCCAUUGUUCCUGUGUUAUUGUUAUUUUCUGGCCAUCUCAACCACCUAUGUAACUUCCCCAUCUGUUCUAGAGAAAUAGACCGAUGUAACUUCCCCAUCUGUUGAGUGGUACGGUAUUGUGCUCAAAGUCCCCUUGAAUACUAAAUUGGAAAUGUUGCUGUUGCUACGGUUUUGACGAUAGAAUAUAACUCAUAUGACAGGUUGGAAACUGAAUUAUUUUCUUUCAAACCAUGUCUUCAAAUCGAUCACAUUAGUUUUGGUUUUGCUUUUUGUUUCAAUGUUAAAUCAAUGUCCAUAAAAUUGGUUUUGUUCUUUUAUACUCUCACUAAAAAUAGCAGCAUUCUUAUUAAUAGAUGUAUACAUUGUGACAAAACUCAAUUCUAGUUAAUACAUCCUCUAUUUUUGAUGAAAAAUAUAAGUUAGAGAUGCUCUUACACAUUGAAUCCACAAGCUAAUGACCAACAAACUAGUUUAUUCAAAGUGCAUAAUUUACUAGCAAAACCUCCAUUAAAAACAGUGCUUGACAAACAUGAAUUCUCUCUUUCAAGCUCAAGAACAACGCUUAAACAAUAUAUGUAUCAGGUAGGAUUCAAAAGCUCUAAUCCGAAACAUGAAACAGAGUAUCACAAGGACAUGCAUAGGUAUUCAAAGCCUUAUCUGCUAUACUUCCUUUUAUCUGCUUUAAGUUUAUCCCUAAAAUCACACCAGUAUGUUGGCUCAUCUUGCAAAACAAGCCUCACCAGCUUCUUAUUGAGAAAAUGAAGACAUGAAUUAAACUUCAUGGUUUCUGAUCAAAAGUUGACAUCAAGAAAGAAACAAUACAAAUCUAUAUGUCCCAACCUGAAACCCAAAGCUUGAGACACAUAUCAAGAGUUAUACAUACCCAAAACUGAACAAGAGUAAACCCAAAUCAAGCGAGCAAGCAUAUCAUUGCUUCUUGUCUUCUGCUUUCCUCGGCUGCAAAAAAACAACAAACCAAACCAACACACACAAAGAUCAGUUCUCUCUUCCUCUCACAAUGAUAAAAUGUGUGAAAAGACAAACGGACCUUAACACCAGGAGCUUCUUGGUGAAUCUCUUCCUCAGGGAUGAUGACAGGCCACUGCUCCCCGGCUUCACGGAACAUCUGCUCCGUCUCGAGAUACUGCCCUUUAUCAAGAAUCAUCUUCCUGAUCGACUGAGCCGACGUGGCAGCCGCAUCGAAAGCUUCCUCGACACCAUUGACGAAAGUGACACUGAUCUGCGGUGGCUGAUCGUCGGUUCUGCGUUUCACCAGAACCUGACAGUUAGGGUUGGACUCUUUGGCCUUCCUCGCGUUGCACUGAGCCAAGAACUCGACGCAGGAGGCGAGUCUUGGGUCCAAUGUGUUGAACUCGAUCUUUACUUUUGAUAGGAACUUCAACAUCCUCUUCUCAAACCUAAAACAGUCAUUGAUAACAAAUCGUGAAGCGAGAUCUGAAGAUGAUUUCUACCAAAAUCUGAUAACCCAAUGAAAUUAAUAAGUAUACGAAAUUAAAUUGUGGGUUGAGAAGGAGAUCUCUGACUUACACAGGUCGACGGGGGCUCUCCGGCGAGAAUUGAUUUUAAGGGGAAAAUGCAGAAGAAACCGAUGCAGGUGGAAGGAAGACUGAAGAAAAGGGUUUUGGGCUUUCGACUGUGUAAAAGGACGAUAGUACCCUUAAUAUUUAUUCCCCUUUGCUUCGGUUUGGUUCGUUUUUCUGAUAGAGCCGCAGAGAAUUUUUGCAAUAAGGAUAGAUAACUAUUUUGAUUUUCUUGUAAUUGCAUUAACUUGAACUGAAGUACAAUGUUACAACGCUUAGGAAUCUAAAACAAAGCCCGAGAGAAAUAUGGGAGACACACUGCCGGCAAAGACACACCUUUCCAGAACCAUGACACUAAACAAGAGAAAUAAAGAAACUACAACAACAUAGACAACAAGAUUUUCAUCUAAAAACUUCAAUCUUUCCAUCAACACUGAUGAUAGGACCACGGCAAACCAACAUUGAAGAAAGGGAGAUAGCAAACCCCAACAGAAGUGUUAAAAACACCAGAUAAAGCACCAUUGGAAUAAAGGAUAAGGUGAUCUCUUGCUUAACCCUUGUCCCAAGGUAAUCAGAGACCCGGCGAAGCCACAAGUUCAAUACACCAUCCUACAAACAACUGUUGGAGACAACCACUCAACAAACCCAAACACUGGAAAGAGCAUGACACCUCAAAGAAACUACAAACCCCACUUCACAACCGGCAAGCGCAAAGAAGUAACCAGAACACGAACAACGCUCUGUAGCACCGGAAAAAAAAAACUGAUUUGGAGGAAGAAACAAAGCUAAUAUUGGAGCCACAAAGGAGACGACUCCCUUCCUACAGUUUCAUAAUGAAACACACCCGACAGGAAUCUGAACUUAUCAAGAAGAGGUUAGCAGCACAAAGGCAUUGCCCUCACUAGACGCCAAGAAACCCCAACCCGCAUGCGAGAACCGAGGAGAGGCCAGACCAGAACCCAACAACAUCAGAAGACUGCAUACCACCACACGAUCAGAGAACCGACGCAAAGACCAUCGAAAAGCAAACUCCACCAGAUCUACUACCACCCACAAAGAAAUAGGGAUGGCAAUAAAUAAUCUGGACCGCGGGCCUGACCCAUAAAGACUUACUGCGGGGCGGAAUCGGGCCACCUUGGUAAGCCCGCAAAAUAUAUAUGUAUUUUUUUUUUGAUAAAUGGUCAUGAAAACACACGAAGACAUUACAAAAUGAAGAUGCGAGUAUAAAUUAUACUAUCGUGAAAUUACAUCGCAGCUAUGAAUAUUACAUUUAUGUAACUUUAAAAUUUUAAAUUAUAUAUCUUCUUUGAAACGUUUGUCAUUUUUCUAUUAAUUUGGAGUAUUUCAGACCUGUGAAAAUCAUAAAUUUUAUCUUCUGUUUGGAUAUUUAAAUAAUCUGUAAAGCAUAAUUUCAUAUUAAUCUGUAAAGUAUAAUUUCAUAUCUACAAAAUCCUCUUGUAACCAACUAAACUAGAGAAGAAUUUAACAAAUAGUUGGCCCUUUAAAUACUUUAAUUAUCUAAGCCCCCAAGCACAUGCUUUACUUGCUUCCAUUCAGAGCAUCUAAAAAAAACUCUAUUUUGAAGUUUCUAAAACUCUAUAUUUGAAGUUUUAAGGUGUUUUUCUCCAAAAGCAAAACUUCAAACUUAACUUCAAAGCUAUUUGUAUUUUAUAAUAUGGUCCUAAUUUAAAUUCAUAAAACUUUUGUAUAUAACUAGCACAUAUGUAAACAUAUUACAAUAAUAUUAAUUAAUGAAAUAUUAUAUUAAAAUAUAAAAAUUUAAACAAAAUAACUUAACUAAUAUUAAACUUCAAGCAAAAUACCAUAUUAUUCCAUAAAGUGAUUUUCGUAGUGCAUAUAUGAUCUACUAGUGCAUUUUGAAUUAAAAAUAGUUUUCCUCAUUUUUAAUUUGUAGAUUAUAGAUAAUAAAUGUUGAAAUCGGGAGAUAUUAAUACUUGUAAAUACAUUAGAUCAGAACAAGAAAGUAAAAGACAAACAUAAAAUAUUUCUAAAAGACUAACUUUUAUCGAUGAUAUUAAUACUCGUGAAUAUAUUCAAUAUGAACAAGAAAGAAUUGUACGAAAAGAUAUCAUCAACAAAAACAACAACCAUCUUCAAUUACACCAAAAAACUAGACAAUAUUUGAAAUUUUGAAGGUUCCAGAUCAAACUUACCUAACUAUUAGUGUUAUUGUAUUAUUCAAAUUUGUGUAAUAGUUAUGUCUUUAUAUAAUUUUUUAAAAGUUUUUUUGUUAAGUUUCUUUUGUAUAUUUCUGUUAUAUAAAUCUAGUUUUAAAUAUUUUAAAUAUUCUUUUAACAAAAUACAAAUAAAAAUAUGAAACUUCAAAUUUGAAGUUUUGAGUAGUGAAACUUCAAAUAUAGAGUUUCACCUCUCAAAACUUCAAAUUUGAAGUUUUGAAGUUCAUUUUUAGAAAGUAAAAAGCUUUAUAUUUGAAGUUAUAGAGUGUCUUUUGUAGAUGAGCAUGGCUCUAUGUCUACUACUAUACUAUGUGAUUGUAAUUGGUUUAAGAUAUUUAAAGGUGUAUAGUGAUUCAGUUAUUGUUUAUGUAUUUAGGCAGUGCUGAAAAAUUAAUUCACGCAUGUUCAAUUUGAUGUUAGCAUUUUAAAAUCAGGUCGUAUGAAAGCAAGAUGAUCACCUAGACAAUUUUGAGUUUGACAUAACAAUAUAAUAUUUGAUAAAAUCUUUCAAACUUUGUUAAUAUGCUCACAAGUCAUAGUAUUACUAUUUGGUUGGUGGCCUAACACAUGUCUUUCGUCAUUGUGAAUAACAGUAAACAAAAUUGGUUUCUCACUUCUCUAGUUUCAAGAUAAAAUAUAGUAAUAAAUUUAAUGUUCUGGGUGGUAAAUUAUGAAAAAGAAGCAUCUCAUUAUAGAAACCUUUUUGGGUUAAGUAAAUGUUAUAAUCAUUCAAAAUUAGUUAUAAACUAGUAGAUUGCUGUCCAAAAAAAAGACUAGAUUAGGUCUAAGCAUUGCACAAGACAAAUGUAUUUAUUAUAUUAUUUAACUAACAAAUCUAUUAAAAUGCUAAUUCUACAUUGCAAAAUAAAUUGACUUCAUUAUUUUUUACAAAAAAUGUAACAAGAAUCUUCAUAUCUCACACGAACACAUGAAUUACAAGUCUACAACAGAUAUUACACCUCAGAAAUUCCAAAAGCAACCCGAUUCUCCCAUACCGGCUAAAGCGGAGGGGUCAGUACCAGUACCGGGGAACUGGGUUUCGUGACUGUUAAGCAACAGUUUCAUUAGCGAAUCAUUGUCUGUUAGAAACAGAGGAUCAGGGUAAAACAGAGGACCAGAACCGUCUUUGGACUCGAGAUGAAUGAGUCUUUUAUCUUCGGUUUCUUGGUCGGAGAAGCAGGUCACGUGAGUAGACGAACCAGGGAAGGAAUCUCGUUGAGAAGAAUCCAUCAACGAAGGUAAUCCGACCGGUUCAAUCCGGUUAACGUGUGAAUCAAGCAACAUUAAAUGGGACAUAUCAACCUUUGUACCAUCGGCACGUUUAUGGAAAACACGGCAAAUAACCCAAUCGUUCUACAUUCACACACAACAAAACAGAACACAAAAUAUCAAUUCAAUUCCACACAAAAAAAGACAAAAAAUGUCUUUGAUGUUAUUGUUACCUUAGCUGUCUGGGAGAGAUGUUGGAUAGAAUAUAUGCCUUCUAAUCGAUAUUCAUGCAUAACCCAAUUGGUUCUUACUCCUUUAGGAGCUCUUCCUUUGUAGAAAACCAGAGUCUUCUUCAUACCCACAAGUGAUUUCCCCUUGAAAAUCUCUUUAUCUUUGCCUGUGGCUUUCCAGUAACCGGCUUCAGUUGCCCGGUUUGUCCUUAAACCGGUUGGGUAUUUCCGGUCUCGCACACAAAAGAAAUACCAUUCUUUCUCCCCUAUCUUAGCUUUCCCUAUUUCACCAAAAGCCAUCACAUAUAUAUUUGUGAGUAAUAAUAAAUUACAGAACAAUAAUAACUAACAUAAAAAAGUUUAAAAAAGGUGGAAAAAGUUUAGAAAAGGCAUGAUACUUCAUGCAGUCUCAAACCAUUUGUAAAGUUUUGUGGAAUCAUGUAUAUUAAACAUAUAUAUUAUUUUUUUUUAACUUCAGAUAUAUAAAUUCAUAUUUACAGCUUUUGUUAUAGUACAAACGUUUUUUAAUUGCUGGAAAGGUUGUACACUUACUUGGUAACUCCCAAGGCUCGAUCUUGUUGAGAUCAACUUCACCAAUGGCGGUGGCAGAGAAGAAAGUGUUGAAGACCUUUUGUUUGAGAUAGUGAGUUAUGAGUUCUUCAUCAGUAGGGUGAAAUCUGAAUCCAGGUGGCAGAUCAAUUUGCUCUUCAUCUUCUACUAUUUCACCGAUUCUUGAUGCAUCGUAAUCCAUUUAUCCUAAUAAAGUUUAUUAGAAACAAUCAAAGUUAUGUAAGAGAGAAGAGAAGGGUUUUUGAAGAGAUGAAUAAAAGGGUUUUGAAGAGAGAGAGUGUGUUUUUUAAGAGAGAAGAGGAAAGGGUUUGAGCAACGAAGCUCCUCUCUAUAUACUAGUUUUCCAUCAGAGAAAUAAGGAAAUAAUAUUAUUAUUGUUGAUAUUGACCAAUAAUUGGUCAAUCUUUUGUGUAUCAAGUUCUUCUUUCAAAGUUUCAAACUAUGAGUUGUAUUGAAUUUCAAGAGUUUUUACCUACUAUAAAGAAAACUUUUAUCUUCGCUCUAAAUGAUUUAUUGUAUAUAAAUGGGUUUUCCGAUUUAAAUCUCGUACAGCCAUCAAAUCAUAUUAUAAAUCAGAAAAUGGGUGUACACACACAUUAACACAUACUAUAGUUAGUUUUCUUAGUAUGAUAGAGAAAGAGGAAGAUGCGUCGAUUGUUAGGCAACUUAAGAUGUGUAAUAUUCAAUAAUCAUUUCUCAUCAUUAAAAAUAAACCUUUCUAUUUCAAGAACUUUAAUAUUUCCAAGUUUCAAUUUGACCAGGAACACUUCACCUGUGGCUCCCUGUCCCUUUUUUGGUUAAUGUGAUAAGAACAAUCUUAUCACAUUAAAUCCUGAUGUUUUGUCCAUUCUUGAAACUAAUUAUUAGUUGCUGGAAAAAGAAUAUCAGUAGAAAACUAUGAUUAUUGGUUUGAAAACAUUUUACAUUGAAACUAUAUGAUUAUAUAAUUGAAACAUUAUAAAUUACCGCGGGUCACUAUUAUUGGUGUUGUGAUUCAGGAUAACUAUGAGAAAAGAGUUUACCAUGGUUGGAUAUAAUUUGUUUUAUUUACUUAACAAGUGUUAUCCCUCUCAUGAAAAGAUUAUGCAUGCAUGAACCUUGGAAAGUAGAUUCUUUAGUAUUAAAGGAACUCUUUUCUUUGUCCUAUUACAGUGCCUACCGUUAUAAGAAAUUAUAAUACUAGUAUGCAAGAUUUUUUAAAAAAGUUCAGUGAAAAAUUGGAAAGAAAAACGAUUUCCUUGUGAAGAUGGGUAAUGAUGAUGAAUGGAUGAGGAUUGUGAUGAUGAAAAUCUGUUAGAAUGUGAAGACAUUUUGAACAACCUCAACCUUAUCAUAUGUGAAUUAUUUGAUUUUUUUAAUGAUCGAAUCACGCGUUUGUGCAUACGAGGUUGUCAUUUGUCACUUCUACAACAUGUGCAUUUUAUUCUUUUCUAGCCAAAUUUCUUCCUCAGUAUUUUUAUUAUACUUGCUGUUUAAAUCCUUAUAUAAUCGAUGUAUUGGUAUUUUUAAUCAACUAUAGUUAUCAUAAAUUGGAAUUUGGAUCGAUACUGGAUAUAUAAUUUAUAUCUUUCUAUUGCACUCUUUUCUUUUCAACUAAUUUCCCAGACUCAAAAGAGAAAAGAUACAUAAGUUGCCAGAAAAAAAAUCAAUGUAUGUUUCACACUAAAAGAGCUAAUGACAAAAUUCAUAGUACAACAAAAAGAAUAUCAAUUCUAGAAGGCCAUAAAGCAACACUCAAGUGAUUGAUGGAACACGUGGAUUUUUCAAAUUAUGUUCCUUCUUCUCAAAAACCCGUUUAAGUUUCCUUGCCUUUUUGACCAAAUUCCCCAAUCUAUCAUUUGUCAAGUUGCUCCUCCAAAAAAUUGCUUAUACUCUUUUUAACAGAGAUGAGUAGGGUUACAUAGACAAAUUGGUUAUAUAUAUUAGGGGUGGGCAAAAAACCCAAACCGAACCGAACCGAACCAACCAAACCGAAGUUAAACCGAACCAAACCAAACCGUGCUCUUUAUGUAACCCAAUUGGUUCAUGUUUUACUCAACCCGAACGGUUUGGUUUGGUUUGGGUUUAAACCGAACCAAACCGAACCAAACCGAUAAUCCAAUAUAUAUAUAGUAAAAAUAUAUAUGAUAUAUAUAUAUGUAUUAACAUAUUGCAAAUUUUAGUUAAAGUUUCGUUUUUCAUUUUUUCAUAACUUCCAUAUCUUUAAAAAAAAUUAUAAAUACGAUUCAAAUAAUACUAUUAUAUAUAAAAUCAUGUAGCAUAAGUUUUUAUAUUCUCACUCUAUCGUUUAUGAGUUGAUUAUUUUUUAAUAAAAGUAUAAAACUAAUGCCUUCAUAUUUUAUAACCAACCCAAACUACACCGAACCAAACUAGACCAUAAUAAUGUAAACCAAACUAAAUCUAAACCAAACCGAACUGAACCGAACCGAAUUAAACCCAAACCGAACCCAACCCAAAGCUACUUUGGUUUUAAUUGGUUUGAGUUUUAUAAAACCCAAAUUACCCAAACCAAACCGAACCCAAACCGAACCCGAAACUAAACCGAAAUGCCCACCCCUAAUAUAUAUAGGGGUUAUUUGUGAAAUAACCAAAAAAGAGUAAUUAGUAUUUUUUAAUGAGAGGUUAGAAAGAAAUAGGAAGAGAAAUGAGGAAAGAGAUGGUUGUUUUGGUUAGAAAAUGAAUUUGAGGUUUUUAUGUAUAUAGGGACAUAUUUCCCUUAUAUACUUUUUGUUUUCAAAAACAAAAACCAAUAUAACUACCGCAUCAUUAUUUUUCAGUUUGUUACUGUGAAUGUUUUUGAUUUGAACGCCAUUGACUAGAUCAUGUCCAACUUCUUCAUGACCAUUAUUCCACUAUCUCUUUAUCAUGGCCUAAAACCUCGCGCAUUCAUAUCAAAAAUCUCAUUAGAAUCGAAUUGGAGAGUUUUCAAAACUCUAAUGCUUCUCCAUAUCAAACAUCUCAUUAAAAUCGCCAAAUAUUAUUCACUACUUCUUAGUUCUUACCUAUUAUGGGAGAGUUGUGAUGAUCCAUCAGUUCCCCAUAUAGAACUUCUACCGUUAUCGCUCUUCCUCGAAGUUAGAAGCGUAAAGUGUUUUAUGAUAAAAAGACAGAAAGGAAAUGGGAUGGCAAGAAACUUAUAGAAUUUUUGUUAUGAUCUAUAAUACAAUUAUUAUUACUUCGAUUUGUUUGAUUAUUUUUUACUCGUGGUUCUUUUACUAAUUGAUUAGUUAAGUUUGGCUACACUUGUUGUCUUAUAAGAUUGAUAUCGUAGAAAAGUGAGAAGCUUACAAAUCAGUUUGACGUUUUUGAUUGGGACUCGGAUAUAGUGGAUUCAGAGGAAGUGGAUGAAGAUUUCAUUGUCGACCUAAUGACUCUAUCAACUAGCAGACUUCUUUAGGAUAGGUUGGUGGCAAUUUCUGAAAUGCAACAGAGAUGAAUGCUACUUUAAGCUCAACUCAACUAAGGCAAAAGGAAGUCGAAUACAUAGGAAACAUGGUUGACGUGGUGGGUUUGGCUAACCUCACUAUGGUGACCAUGGAUAUCCUCUAGAUAGUUUUAGCUCUUGCCCGUUUCACUUUUAAGCAUUCAAGUUGCUUACUUGUUGCUUGUAAAACCUUUUCUAAAUUGCAACUGUUGGCUUUACUGUUGGCUUAAUAUAUAUGUACAAUGAGAAGGUCUAUUAAUAUUCAAUGGUGUGAGUUCUUCUACACACAUUUUCUUAGUGUGAGCCCGUCCCGUGCAUCAUAAACGUAGACCUCAUGUCGAAGUAGAACAUUCAAUUAUUUUUAUGAGAUGAGAGCAUAUAUCUACUACGAACAAAAUGCAUAUUAUUUUACUAAACAAUUGGGACGAAGAUAAUUUGUAUUAUUCGUUCCAAGUCCAACUGAGACAUUUUUUGCCAAUCAAUACAUUAUAUUAAAAUCUUCAAAUGAAGAUGAUGCAUACAAUACAAAAUUGAAAAGAUAAAUGGAAUGAUAAAAAGUUAGAAAAGAAAAGUAUAAGCCUAACAUCCAUGAGUCUCUAGCCUACUUCAAUUCUUGAAUGGAGCUAAACCAGACUUUCCAGUGGUAAAUAAAACUGAAACGUUCUUCUCGAUUAAUUGAGAUAUGUUGGCUAUUAACAAUGAUGAGUUCAUUUGCUAAGAACUUUAUGCUAUUUUUUUUUUAAUCAAAAUUUCUAAAGCUAAUCCUUUUUUCUAACACCUUUCUAAAGCUAAUCAAUCGUUUCCUUUUGUUUUAGGCUUUUAGCAGUUCUUUCCUUUUCAGGAAAUAUAAACUAAAUUCUAUAAAUCUUUUGCUACUUGGUGGUGCCAAAACCACGUGUCGCUUGAUUUUUUGAAACGGCAAGAGUUUCAUACGUAUCGCCAACCCCAACCUUCUCUUGGACACGACACAAGUAAGACGAAUUCCAAAAUAGACACGUGUUUGGAUACAAAUGGGAGUUAAUAAGUAUCAAACGCUAUUCUUAAUUAUCGUAAUUCAGUUGCUGAAAAGAACUGAUUUAGCUAAUUAAGUGGAAUUUCACUAAUUAAAGUUUGACCAGCUUCCUGAUUCGAAACAUGAGUUGCCAGUGGGAACAAACACGACUCAAAACUCCGUUACCAUGAUUCUGUGCAAGACCCAAUGGAGGAAAUGAUGGAUGCAGACUCUUCAGGAUGAUUGCAUGAACUUUGACUGACGUAGAAGUCCGGUCCACAGAGAUCCUAAGAGUUUUAAAUGUUGUUUCGAUGAGUAAUGCAUAACACUAUUAAUUAGUUUCCAAAAUUGGACUGGUUAAGGUAUUCUCAAGAUGAGUUAUAUUGGGUGCUAGUAUUGUAUAUAGGUUUAUUCAGUACGCUAUAUCUUUUUGUGGCGAUGUUUUGUCCUGAGAGAUUCUUUUAUCACUACAAGAAAACAGCUUGUUUCCUACAGACGAUUUAGUCGAAAUAAGCCAUUUCUGAUGAAUUUCGUUGGUUCUAUCUCGUCGAAAAAAAAACGUUUGAAUUUCGUCGGAUUUCUGACGCAUUUCCGACGGACAAAUUUCCGACGAAAUACCGACGAAUAAAUUUCCGACAAAAUACCAACGGAUAAAUUUCUGACGAAAUUCUGACAAAUCUUAUCCGUCGAAACUUUUGUAAACUAUUUUUAAAAUAAAAUAAAUUUUAUUUUAAAUAUAAUAUUUAAUGAAUUACGUAUAACAAAUUUUAAAAAUCAUUUAUAAUAAAUAUUUUUAAUUCUUUAUAUAUAAAUAAAAUAAAAUUUAAAAUUAGGAAAACGUUUUAACUAAAUCUUUUUUGUAAUUGAACCCAUUUCCUAGAAAUUAAAAACAUUUUAAUUAAAUCUAAAAAAAAACAAAAACUUUUUAUAGAUUGAAAAGGUUUAAAAAAAUGUGAAAAACGUUUUGAUAAUCUUUAGUAACCAGAAAAUGUUUUAUAAAUUAUAACAAACAAUAAAAACUUUUUAUAAGAACUUAAAUUUUUUUUUUUGAUGAAUUUUUUUUUUAAAGUUUAAAACGUUUUAUAAAAUCAUAAAAACGUUUUAAAACAACAAUAAUAAUAAAAACUUGAAAAUGUUAUAUAUAUAUUUAUUUAUUCUAAUAAAACUCCAAAAAUGUUUUAAAAUUUGAAAAAACAUUUUAUAAAUAACAAAAAAAAGAUUCACAAAACAACAAAUUAAAUAAACAAACUACAAAAUCACAAGCAAAACCUAUCUAAACCACAACAUAACAACAAAAUCUAACAUCUAAUUCAUAAUAUUCUUCAUCCUAACAUAAAUCCAACAUUCAAAACCUUAAAUUCACAAUUUCACAAUCAAAAAGUAACAUAAGUCAAAUGAGAAAAGGAAAGAGAUGACUUACAUAAUUUGUGAGGUGGAUUUGAGGAGUUUGAGCUUAGAAUCGUUGGAUUAGAGAGAGAGAAUCAAAGAGAAUUUGUGUAUGUUUAGAGAGAGAGAGAGGAGAAGUGAGGAAGAAGAAGGGGCUUGCGCUUUUAUAUUAAAAAUUUCUGACGGAUUGGAUUCAUCAGAAAUCCGUCAAAAUUUUUUAUUUUGACGUUUCACGAAAAAUUAGGCAGGGUUUUUCGGGGCAAAUUUCAAUUUCCGACGAAUAUACCAUUUUCGUCGGAAAUUCGCCGGAAUAUAUCAUUGUCGUCGGAAUUCGACAGAAAUAUAUUUGUCAGAAAUUUCCUACGAAUUUUGAACGAAUUAUAAUAGCCAUCGAUAAUAAAUUGAUGACUUUUAGGGUUUAAAAUCUUCAUAAUGUUUAGAAACACUUGAAAACACACAAACUAAAGAUUGCAAGAUGGAUCACCGAAAAGUAUUUGCUUAAGUGUAUAAGUGUUAACGAGAAAUAUUAGGUAUCCGUCCAUGCAUCAAUCGCAAGAAUAUAUAUAUAGCUUAAAUAAUUGAGGCAAUAUUAAUCUACAUCAUAUUUAUCACUUAAUAUAUCCGGAUGAACAUUUAUUUUGAAUAUUUCAUAUCUAAACUCAUGGUCGUCGAAAAUUCGUUGGAAAUUUGUGUCGAAUAUGCUACGAAAAUUUCGCAAUCCAUCAGAAUUUCGUCGGCAAUUUUCUAGGAAGAAAUUUGUCAAAAUUUCGUCGGACAUUUCUGACGAAUUUCCUACAGAAAUUUUUCAUUUCGUCGGAAAUCCGUCAGAAAUUUCUGAUGAAUUUCCGACGAAAACAUAAACCCCAAAUCUAUACCCUAAAUCGUGUAAUCUUCCUUGGGAGUCGUCGGUAUUUUGUCGCUUAUUUUUGAUGAAAGAAAGUUCGUCGGAAAUUCCUAAGAUAUUUCCGACAAAUGGUAAAAUUUUAUAUUUCUCGAAAUCCGUCAGAAAUUUCUCAGAAAUUUCCGACGAAUAUUUCUUCCGUCAGAAAAUGAAUAUGUUUUCUUGUAGUGUAUUGCACAUGGCCAUUUGCUAAUAAUCCAGUUUUAUGGAAUGGAUCUUGUGUGUUCACGAGGUUCAUGUGGCAGUCUUUUUCAACGAUUGGGACUUGGCUUUGUUUUAACUAGUUUUUCUAGGUGUUCCGGAUUAAUGAAAAUUCUAAGUUGGAAUUGCAGAGGACUCAGGAGUAAAUGGAUUAUUAGUUAUUUGAGAGAAAUUAGGGGGAAAUAUAAACCAGCGUUUCUAUUUUUAUCGGAAACCAAACAGCAAUUUGAUUUUGUGCAGUCUUUUUAAUUUCAUUUUGGAUAUUCUCAUCUCCAUACGGUUGAUCUUAUAGGGAGGAGUGGUGGGCUGGCUCUAUUUUAUGAUUCCACUUAUAAGGUAUAUAAACUCUUCAAGCAACAUAAUUAUAGACGUCGAGACAAAAUAUAACGGAAAAUGAAUUUUUAUUUCACUUGUUUAUGGCGAGUCAAAUCAAAAUUUUAGAGACCAGAUUUGGGAGAGGCUUACAAUAGGGAUCUUGAGGGACGAACCAUGGUUUAUUAUUGGAGACUUAAAUGAGAUUACGGGUAAUCAUGAGAAACAAGGAGGAGUUCUUAGACACGCAGAUACGUUUUUACAAUUCAAUAAUAUGAUAGAGAACUGUGGUCUGAUGGAGUUUCCAAGUCUUGGUAAUACUCUUUCUUGGAACGGAAGAAGAGCUGGACAUGUGUUAAGUGUCAACUGGAUAGGGCAUUGGCAAACAAUGAAUGGCAUAAUCUGUUUCCUUGCUCUUUUGUUGAAUACUUGGGUAUGAUUGCCUCUGAUCACAGGCCGAUUGUGGCAUCAAUAGAGGAUAAAGUACUAAACUUUUGACGGUAAUUUAGAUUUGAUAAAAGAUGGAUAGGUGAGGAUGGACUGAUGGAAUCUAUUGAACGUGGAUGGUCCACUCAGAGGGGUGGACGCCGCAUGGGUAUAGUAGAUAAAAUUCAUAAUUGUUGACAUGAAAUUUCUGUUUGGAAAAAGGAAAAUCCACCUUAUGGGAAGGAAAAAAUAAAUACUCUUCAGAGGGCUCUGGAGGAUGAUCAAAGCGAUUUGACAAAAUCUCUUGAAGUAGUGAUUGAGGUGUCCAGGAAACUAAAAGAGGCAUAUCGAGAUGAAAAAUUAUAGUGGGAACAGAAGAGUAGAACUUUGUGGCAUACAUGUGGAGAUAGAAAUACUAAAGUAUAUCAUGCUUUAACCAAACAAAGACGCAUACAAAACAUGAUUAUUGGUUUAUAUAACGAGGAUGGGGAUUGGAUUAAUUCAGAAGGUGAUAUGGAAAGUGUGUCGCUUAAAUAUUUCAAUGAUCUGUUCCAGUCUACCCCGCCUUCAGAGUUUGAUAGGUUUCUAGAGGAAGUUCCAACUUGGUAACAACUGCUCAAAAUAAUAGACUAACGGCUCAUGCUUCAAAGGAGGAAGUUAGGACGUCAUUAUUUAUGAUGCACCCGGAGAAAG
rnacentral:lncRNA from 1 species